rnacentral:rRNA from 1 species
AUUGAACGCUGGCGGCAUGCUUUACACAUGCAAGUCGAACGGCAGCGCGGGCUUCGGCCUGGCGGCGAGUGGCGAACGGGUGAGUAAUACAUCGGAACGUGCCCAGUAGUGGGGGAUAGCUCGGCGAAAGCCGGAUUAAUACCGCAUACGACCUGAGGGUGAAAGCGGGGGAUCUUCGGACCUCGCGCUAUUGGAGCGGCCGAUGGCAGAUUAGCUAGUUGGUGGGGUAAAGGCCUACCAAGGCGACGAUCUGUAGCUGGUCUGAGAGGACGACCAGCCACACUGGGACUGAGACACGGCCCAGCCUCCUACGGGAGGCAGCAGUGGGGAAUUUUGGACAAUGGAGGAAAGCCUGAUCCAGCAAUGCCGCGUGUGUGAUGAAGGCCUUCGGGUUGUAAAGCACUUUUGGCGGGAACGAAAAGGACUGUGCCAAUACCACGGUUCGAUGACGGUACCCGCAGAAUAAGCACCGGCUAACUACGUG